CUUUGCUCCCACCAGGCGCUUCAUGGGAAAUAAAUUCUCUGCCCAAGUGUCUUUCGGUAGGGCAUGCAAAGCAGCCACUCCUUAUUUGAUUAAUCCUUACUCUGUAUUUUCCAGGGCGUGUACUGUAUCACCAAGGAUCCUACAUGACAUCAAUCUUCUUCUACAUCCCUCUUGGCAUGUGAUGAAAGGAGGAGUUUGCUUGGGAUUGUCUCGGUUGUCAAGAGACCAGCAGGUCUGCUCAUCCCCUGGGAGAGGCUGGCAGCAGAUGCCUCAGCCGCCUGACUCAGCAAUGCCAGGCUCACCCCUGGCCCAGGGACCUGUGCAGGUAAGACGGUGGGAGGGAAAGCAGAACCUCCAAACAUAGAAUCCCCAAGUCCCCAAGGGAGACCAAAAUGUUAUCUUCCUGUUUUUUCCUAGAAGCAAUAUCCUACGCCUGCCUCCAAUCCAGAGAAACGAGAGUGAUCUCAAUUUGAACAAAACCUUUUCCAGCCCAGUCUUAUGCAUCGGGCAUGGUUAGCUUCCACACUCCAACCCCACUGUCUUCCAUGGGUCCCCCUUGAUGCUGUUUCUUCUGAAAAUGGAAAUGCCCAUGCCUCACAGGCUCCAGAGAGGCAGAUGAAGUCAUGGAUAGGAAAGCACAGUGCUCAUGAGAUGUGGGUCUGCACAGCUACUACAAUCAAGGGCUGAAUUGGAAAUUUCCACAGAUAUCUCGGUUUGGCAGAUAAUGAGAUUUUAUAAGGAAAGCAUCCAACUAAGGAUGGGCCCCCUCUGACUAUACUACUUUCCUUUUCAAAAUAUCCCUGGGGUUCUCCAGUGCUUACAGAGU
rnacentral:lncRNA from 1 species